rnacentral:rRNA from 1 species
AAAAAACAUCCAAAAAUAUAUUAUAAAGUAAUUCAAAGGGGUUAUUAAGGAAAACUAAGGCAAAUUUAUAAAAAAAGGAGGUCUAAUACCAAAAGCUUACUAACAAUUAAAUAUUAAGUAAGCGCUCCUAAGGUAAACCUUAUUAAUCAAUUACUUCCUGAAGUAAAACAUUUUAUUAGGGAAAGGAAAGGAAAUCAACCGAGACUCCGAAAGUAAUGGUGAGUGAAAUCGGAUUAGCCUAAUUAAUUAAUAAAUUGAAAAACUUAAGUAUUUAGCAACGAAGAACUCUCUCUCCUUCUCUCUCUCCUUCUUCAUAAGUAGUUUCCUUUAUCUUUUUGGAACUCUUUAUUUUCAAUUUAGAAAAAAAAGACUUACAAAAAGACUUUCUUAGAAGUACUAAGUACGAACUAGAAGAAGGGCUGGUUGCAAAAUAUAUUAGUUAGUAAUACUUUACUUUAAAGUGGUGUAGACUUCCCUAUUCCAAAAAGAAGUGUUACUCUAAAGAAGGUGAAAAACUAUAAGACCUGUAGGUUUAUUAAUUAAUAUUAGCCCUUUUUUUUGGAAGAGAAAAUCCUCUUUUCUUAUUCCAAGCCCCUUGUUUAGAUUAAAAUCCAGGGCCAGGGACACUGGCAAGGGGCCCUUAGGGCAGAUAAAUACUCCUCCUACGGACUCCUACUUUACUUAACUGAAGGAAGGAGUUCUAUAUUCUAAAAAGACUGCCUUCUAUCCUAAGGCAAGAAUUAUAGUACAAAUCCCCUUUUUUCUUUCUAGAAUAAAGGGGCUCUUUCUGAUGCUAGGGGGGUAAAUUUAUUUAAAUAAAGUACGAUGAGAGAAAACUUGUCGGAAUAUAGGGGUACCAUCCUCUAAGGCUAAGUGUAUUAUAAAUUUAGCGAUAGUGAAUAAGUACUGUAAAGGAAAAGUAUGAAAAGCGAGUGGUAAACUCAAAAAUGAAAUUUAAAAAUAUCCCUUCUCCGGAUUGGUUUACAGAAGAAAAGAAUCCCCUUAAAGGUAUUCUUAAUUCUUCUUUUCAUUUAAUCCGAAGAACAUUUAAGAAUGAAAUGGUGAAAUAGAUCUUGAAUUAGUAACUCUAUAAGCAGUCGAAAUUCUACAAGCAAAAAUGAAUGACGGCGUACCUUUUGCAUAAUGGGUCAGCAAGUUAAUAGGAGUAGCAAGGUUUUAAGCCUUAGCGAAAGCGACUGGACUAUAAUUUAAAAAUACUUCUUUGGAGGUAGUCUAGAAAAAAUUUUUGGACAAAAAAAUAAGUACACAUAGUGAUGGGUCAGUUACUUCUAUUAGACCCGAAGCCAGGUGAUCUUACCAAGACCAGAUUAUAAUAGAUCGAACGGGUGAAUGUUGCAUAAUUCUCCGAUGAGUUUUGGUAAGCGGUGAAAUGCCAAUCUGACCUGGUGCUAGCUGGUUUUCUACCGAAACAUAUUUAAGUAUGACGUCUACACAAAAUUUAUGGAGGUACAGCAAGGCAAUUCCCAACAAGUUUAAGGGUUGUGUACGAAGUGCUCUCCUGCCUUUUCUUAGGCUGGAAAGGAGCCAUUGACUCAUAAAGUUUUGAACACAUCUGCCUUUUAGGCGUUUAGGUUGCGGGGACCUCGAAAAUCUUACCUUUGGAAGCGAAUCUCGGAAUUACAUAAAUUGAUGGUAGAUAUUCAGACUACUCAUGCUAAGUUGGGUAGUCAAGACGGAAACAGCCGAGAACACUGAUCAAGGUCCCAAAUGAUUGUUAAGUGAAAUUAAGGACGUAGCAAUAUCGUAUACAGCUGUGAAGUGAGCCUGGCAGUCGCUACUUUUAAUGAUCGUAUGUAACAACGCAUCAGCAGUUUAGAUAGUAGCGCCGAAAAUUUAACGGGUCUUAAACAAUCAACCGAUAUCGUGUUGGUUUAUAUUAUACUAAACCUAGGUAGUAGAACAUUCAGUCAAACCCAUUAUAAAAUAGUGUUUCAUUAUUUUUUAGGUUACUGAAGAGAGAAUGCUGACAUGAGUAACGUAAAAAGAAGUUAUAAUACUUCUCGCCGAAUACGAAAGGGUUGCAAAUUAGAAAGGUUAAUCCGUUUUGUUUGAAUGCGGCCUCUAAGGACCAAAACCAAAGUUUUGGCUGAUGAGUAUAUAAUAGAAAGUCCAUUUUUUUAGUGGACCAGGAAAAGAAUAUUAUAAGUAAUAACAUUUUACUGUAUAACUGCCCACCUUACUGCCCCUUAUUCCCACCUUAUUAUUAUUAAUACCUUCAUGGUAUUAUUCUCUCCGGAGGAAUCCGGAGGAAUCCGGAGGAAUCCGGAGGAAUCCGGAGGAAUCCGGAGGAAGGGAAUUUUUGUAGUCCUGGACCACAAAAAAAAAAAAAAAAAGGGUUGGAGGAUUUAUAAGGCAUUAGGAUUUUUUAUAAUUCCUAAAAAAAAAACCUUCCUUUUUUCGCGGACGAGAGUACACAUUGUCUCCGCGGAUUGGCACCUCGAUGUCGACUCAUCCUAUCCUCUGGGGGAAGAAGCUUGGAAGGGUUCGGCUGUUCGCCGAUUAAAAGGGUACGUGAGUUGGGUUUAAUACGACGUGAGAGUCAGUAUGGUCCCUAUCUUCUGGAGGGAGAAUAAGUAAAAAGGGGCAGACCUUCUAGUACGAAAGGAUCAAUAGGAUGUGUUUCUCUAGUGUACCAAUUGUUGGUACUGUUUUGUUUAAGACCCCUAUCUCUCCUUCUCUUUUGGAAUCAAGGAAGAUGAAAGAUAAGUGGGUAAAAUCCUUUGGAACUUUAAAGCUAAAAGUUCUUUAUUUUAAAUACCUUUAAGGUAUUGAUCAAAGGUCACAAAGUGGGAACGCAUAGUUGGGUAGCCACAAACAUAAUAGAUAAGUGCUGAAUGUCUAUAAAGCAAGAAUCUAACCCCUAGAUACUUUAAAUAUGAUUAUUUAUCUUAAUUACAAAGAUUUUUUUGUACCUAGUACGUAGUAUGUAGUACAUAGUUACUCCUUUUUUAUCGAAAGGUAAGGCACCACCUAGCCUUUUGAUAAAAAUCCCCUGUAGCAUCCCUGGAUUCCAAAGGGGUUAUACGAGGGGAGAGGAGUAUUAUUGAGUAUAAUUUAGAUUAAAGAUCAUUAAUUAAGAAAUAGAACAUUUCUAGAUAGGCUGCAAAUAUAACUAUUGUAAAAUAGUUAGUUUAGCAGUACUAAUUUAUAAAAAAAACUAGAUGCCAG